GAUGAACGCUGGCGGCGUGCCUAAUACAUGCAAGUCGAGCGAACAGACGAGGAGCUUGCUCCUCUGACGUUAGCGGCGGACGGGUGAGUAACACGUGGAUAACCUACCUAUAAGACUGGGAUAACUUCGGGAAACCGGAGCUAAUACCGGAUAAUAUAUUGAACCGCAUGGUUCAAUAGUGAAAGACGGUUUUGCUGUCACUUAUAGAUGGAUCCGCGCCGCAUUAGCUAGUUGGUAAGGUGACGGCUUACCAAGGCAACGAUACGUAGCCGACCUGAGAGGGUGAUCGGCCACACUGGAACUGAGACACGGUCCAGACUCCUACGGGAGGCAGCAGUAGGGAAUCUUCCGCAAUGGGCGAAAGCCUGACGGAGCAACGCCGCGUGAGUGAUGAAGGUCUUCGGAUCGUAAAACUCUGUUAUUAGGGAAGAACAAAUGUGUAAGUAACUAUGCACGUCUUGACGGUACCUAAUCAGAAAGCCACGGCUAACCACGUG
rnacentral:rRNA from 1 species